rnacentral:rRNA from 1 species
UACAGAGGUCUCAAGCGUUGUUCGGAUUCAUUGGGCGUAAAGGGUGCGUAGGUGGCGCCGUAAGUCAGGUGUGAAAUUUCGGAGCUUAACUCCGAAACUGCAUUUGAUGCUGCGGUGCUUGAGGACUGGAGAGGAGACUGGAAUUCAUGGUGUAGCAGUGAAAUGCGUAGAGAUCAUGAGGAAGACCAGUGGCGAAGGCGGGUCUCUGGACAGUUCCUGACACUGAGGCACGAAGGCCAGGGGAGCAAACGGG